GGAGCGAGCAUCAUGGACGUUUCAGCUCAUGCUAACGCUAAGGAACCGAGACGGGGUAAGGGCAGAUAAACUGGCCAACAACCUUUACAGGCUUUCAACAACCUUUUUAGUUUUAUUCAGGUUUCCUCUGGUGGACGAGCAGAACCCCAUCUCUCUUCUCAAGCA